rnacentral:rRNA from 1 species
CCUACGGGAGGCAGCAGUGAGGAAUAUUGGACAAUGGGCGCAAGCCUGAUCCAGCCAUGCCGCGUGCAGGAUGACGGUCCUAUGGAUUGUAAACUGCUUUUAUACAGGAAGAAACACCUCUACGUGUAGAGACUUGACGGUACUGUAAGAAUAAGGAUCGGCUAACUCCGUGCCAGCAGCCGCGGUAAUACGGAGGAUCCAAGCGUUAUCCGGAAUCAUUGGGUUUAAAGGGUCCGUAGGCGGUCAGGUAAGUCAGUGGUGAAAGCCCAUCGCUCAACGGUGGAACGGCCAUUGAUACUGUCUGACUUGAAUUAUUAGGAAGUAACUAGAAUAUGUAGUGUAGCGGUGAAAUGCUUAGAGAUUACAUGGAAUACCAAUUGCGAAGGCAGGUUACUACUAAUUGAUUGACGCUGAUGGACGAAAGCGUGGGUAGCGAACAGGAUUAGAUACCCUGGUAGUCCACGCCGUAAACGAUGGAUACUAGCUGUUGGGAGCAAUCUCAGUGGCUAAGCGAAAGUGAUAAGUAUCCCACCUGGGGAGUACGAACGCAAGUUUGAAACUCAAAGGAAUUGACGGGG